AGCGAACGCUGGCGGCAGGCCUAACACAUGCAAGUCGAACGAACCUUUCGGGGUUAGUGGCGGACGGGUGAGUAACACGUGGGAACGUGCCUUUAGGUUCGGAAUAACUCAGGGAAACUUGUGCUAAUACCGAAUGUGCCCUUCGGGGGAAAGAUUAAUCGCCUUUAGAGCGGCCCGCGUCUGAUUAGCUAGUUGGUUGAGGUAAUGGCUCACCAAGGCGACGAUCAGUAGCUGGUCUGAGAGGAUGAUCAGCCACAUUGGGACUGAGACACGGCCCAAACUCCUACGAGAGGCAGCAGUGGGGAAUCUUGCGCAAUGGGCGAAAGCCUGACGCAGCCAGGCCGCGUGAAUGAUGAAGGUCUUAGAAUUGUAAAAUUCUUUCGCCGGGGAGGAUAAGGACGGUACCCGUAGAAGAAGCCCCGGCUACCUUCGU
rnacentral:rRNA from 1 species